GAUUGACCUCGGAUCAGGUAGGGAU
rnacentral:rRNA from 7 species